rnacentral:rRNA from 1 species
GAUGAACGCUGGCGGCGUGCCUAAUACAUGCAAGUCGAGCGGUAAGGCCACUUCGGUGGUACACGAGCGGCGGACGGCUGAGUAACACGUAGGAACGUACCCCAAAGUGAGGGAUAAGCGCCGGAAACGGCGUCUAAUACCGCAUGUGGUCUUCGGACUAAAGCACCGGCGCUUUGGGAACGGCCUGCGCAUGAUUAGCUUGUUGGUAAGGUAAUGGCUUACCAAGGCGACGAUCAUUAGCUGGUCUGAGAGGAUGAUCAGCCAGACUGGGACUGAGACACGGCCCAGACUCCUACGGGAGGCAGCAGUAGGGAAUCUUCCACAAUGGGCGGAAGCCUGAUGGAGCAACGCCGCGUGCAGGAUGAAUGCCUUCGGGUUGUAAACUGCUUUUAUCUGUGACGAUUAUGACGGUAGCAGAUGAAUAAGGAUCGGCUAACUCCGUGCCAGCAGCCGCCGUAA